GUUAAACACACAAAUACACACAAACACGCAGCUAGGAGUCAGUUGGUAUUAACCACAAAACACAAGGUGUGGUAAAAACAACCACUGAUUCGUAAAGAAAAAGGCCCAAUCCCAACUCCAGCCCAACACCAGAGUGUUUGUCUUCAAAACACAAGACUGGACCAGCGAUGAUGACGGUAACAGCUGGUCACUUUGAGUGAAUAACACUCACACUUGUGAAAGCUAAUCUUCACAGCACAGAUGAAGGGGCGGAUUAAUGAUGGGGAUAUAUGGACGAGAGGAUUUAAUAUCACACAAAUCAGCGGGAGCUCAAGCCCACCCACAUCUACUGGUGAUGUUUAAAGUUAACAGGAUCCCUCUUCGUCCGAUUCCGAGAAUCGUUUCUGGCUACGUCGACUCUGACUUUUCUGAAAAAACACCAACUUCCUGAAACUAGCAAGUCACAACUGCAGCUCUGAGCUCCCAAAAGCAGCGCCAACCCCAUCAAAACAUGUUCAGGAAGCAAAACGGUCAAAGUCAAAAUGAGUGUGCAACGUUUCUAUUAAUAGCUAGUAAGCCUAGAUCACAUGACCGGAUUAAGAGGGGCAAAAGACACAAAAAUGUGCUGCGUCCCAGUUUGUUAGGAUAGCUUCAUGUGUUCUCUGGUCAACACAAUACAAACAAGAUAAAAGUUCAAGUUAAAACACUGACUAUAGCUGAUAACAGCAGUUCCCACUGUGGAGCAGUUUUUACAUAAGUAAGCAACAUUAUUCUGACUUUUAAAGGCAAUUUUGUUUUAAAAUAAUAUGAACAGGGUCAAGAACAUUAAUCUCCAUUUCAACAGCUCAACAUUUCCUUUACCCCUCUUACUAAAAUUUCUUCAAUGCAAAAUAUUCCUUUUUGUAGGGAAACCUCAAACUGAAAUCUGAUCUUGAGAACUUUUGCACAAGCAACCAGACUUCAACAUGUUUCAUAACAAAGAAAGUCCGUGUUAAAUAUAUGUGGUUUAAUUACACAACUCAGAGAGGCAAUAGUUUGCUGCAUCUUUUCUGCAAAUCAGCGCUAAUGUUACUUUGAAAGCUUUUACAGCUGUCACAAAGAGGAUAUCUGAUGUGUUGUGAGGAUUAUCAGAGGAUGACAGGAUGUCCUCUGUAGUGUAAUGUUUGUUUUAUUGUUUCUGGAGCUGAUUGUCUGAUGAUGGUCAAUUCAGCAGUUAAUCCAUUCACUUUUUUGCAUCCCCAACUUUGUUUUCAAAACAUGAUAUUAAAUCACACCCUGUUCCGAUUAAA